GAUGAACGCUGGCGGCGUGCCUAAUACACGCAAGUCGAGCGAAUGGAUUAAGAGCUUGCUCUUAUGAAGUUAGCGGCGGACGGGUGAGUAACACGUGGGUAACCUGCCCAUAAGACUGGGAUAACUCCGGGAAACCGGGGCUAAUACCGGAUAAUAUUUUGAACUGCAUGGUUCAAAAUUGAAAGGCGGCUUCGGCUGUCACUUAUGGACGGACCCGCGUCGCAUUAGCUAGUUGGUGAGGUAACGGCUCACCAAGGCAACGAUGCGUAGCCGACCUGAGAGGGUGAUCGGCCACACUGGGCCUGAGACACGGCCCAGACUCCUACGGGAGGCAGAAGUAGGGAAUCUUCCGCAAUGGACGAAAGUCUGACGGAGCAACGCCGCGUGAGUGAUGAAGGCUUUCGGGUCGUAAAACUCUGUUGUUAGGGAAGAACAAGUGCUAGUUGAAUAAGCUGGCACCUUGACGGUACCUAACCAGAAAGCCACGGCUAACUACGUGCCAGCCGCCGCAGUAA
rnacentral:rRNA from 1 species